rnacentral:rRNA from 1 species
CCUACGGGUGGCUGCAGUGGGGGAUAUUGCACAAUGGGGGGAACCCUGAUGCAGCGACGCCGCGUGGGUGAAGGAGCGUUUCGGCGCGUAAAGCUCUAUCGGCAGGGAAGAAGAUGACGGUACCUGACUAAGAAGCCCCGGCUAACUACGUGCCAGCAGCCGCGGGAAAACGUAGGGGGCAAGCGUUAUCCGGAUUUACUGGGUGUAAAGGGGGCGUAGACGGCGAUGCAAGCCAGAAGUGAAAUCCCGGGGCCCAACCCCGGGACUGCUCGUGGAACUGCAUGGCUGGAGUACAGGAGGGGCAGGCGGAAUUCCUAGUGUAGCGGUGAAAUGCGUAGAUAUUAGGAGGAACACCGGUGGCGAAGGCGGCCUGCUGGUCUGUAACUGACGUUGAGGCCCGAAGGCGUGGGGAGCAAACAGGAUUAGAUACCCCUGUAGUC